rnacentral:lncRNA from 1 species
CAAGCGUGUAUAUUUCUGCGAGAUAAGGCAUUUGUAGAAUCGAAAUCCACACAGGAAGAUGGGAAUUUCAGUAUUUGUCUUUGCUCUGUGUUCAUUAGGUAUGUUCGUAACUUGAUAUAACUUACGAUGAAAAUUUGUCAGAAUGUAAUAUAUAGCAUUUUCUCAUCACCAUAUUUUCAGCAAACUAUUACGUCUGCCAACACAUGCAAUUGAAAUAGAUAUUAUCUUUAAAUACUUAUUACUAGUCAAAUAUGUUUUGUUUCAAAAAUGAAUUUGGAAUUUCCUUUAUUGAAUCAUCAAUGUAGUUUUUUAGACAUUCAGCGUUAUAAGAAAUGUACCAUGUAGAUUCGUAUCUUUUAAUAUGCAUGAUAUGGACGACUAUUAUCUGUAAUUCAAAACAAAACAAAAACAUAAAAACAAAAUUAAGAGAAUUACAUAUGUAAACGUUGUAUCGAGAAACUUAUGCCUCAAAUUAGAAGAACAGUGUUGAAGAAGAACGGUGUUGACAUGAUAUCAAUUAUAUGGUCAUUUUUUCUCUCAUAAAUCAUUGAUUGCAAAAUUACAAAUUAUUCAAAAUACUAAGGAUUUACUUAUCCCAGGCAUCGAUUACAAUAGCCGUAGUAAGCACAACUUUUUGGACUUUGGGUCUUCAAUGAUCUACAACUUAAUACUUUUGGCUUUUUAACCAUUUUGAUCUGAGCGUCACUGAUGAGUCUUAUGUAGACGAAACGCGUGUCUGGCGUAUAACAAUAUAAGCCUGAUACCUUUGACAACUAUUUACUGUAACAUUAAUGAUUUAAAUGUAUUCUAAAAACUAUAUGCAGAAAGUAUACAGACAUUAUAAACCGAUGAAUGGUGAUUUACCUAGAUCUUCUACGUACAGUUGAAAUCGACGCCAUUAACGGUCUUUGUCUAGUUGUAAGAUAUAAAAGUUUCAUCCGUGGAACUUUCUAGCAAUUAACAAGAUGAAGAAAUCAGCUAAAAUAUGUUGUCUAUUAAUUGUUUAAAAAUAUAUUUGUAUCAAGUUCAUCUAAAAUAUAUGUUUUUAUAUUUUUAUGUACAUCAAAUAAAUUGCAAUAUGCACAUUUCUGCAUGGUAAAACAAAGUCAGCUUCUUUCCUUUGAAAGGUUUGGAAGACAUUUUUUUUAUUAAUUUCUCAAUAAGAGAGGGAACACACUAUUUCAAGAAAGUCUUCUUGAUAUUAAGCUUUCACAUUUUACAAAUACAUAUAUAUAUGUUAACAUUAAAAGUUAUAACCUAGUUAGAUAUGCUAGCCUUACAAUGGAAUUUAUGUAUUGAACUUUCAUUAUUUAUAUUGUUUUAGUGCUGGUCUCCAGUGAAUCGUGUCCAAAUGGGACGAGUAAGGACUGUCUCCAUACUAAGUGUCCUGAGUUAAACUACAAAUUAUCGUGCAUUGAUAAUUUUUGCACGUGUGCUGAGAUUGGACCUGCUGGUACAAUUUUUCAAUAUGUUUUAUAAUAUAAUAAUUUGUUAAGAAAUAUGUAGUACAUACUGUACAAAAUUUGUAAAGUUUACGAAAAAUAGCAGCUGCUGCUAUAUUAUCAUGGUAAUGUUAGGGGACGACCAUUUGAUAUUCUGGGGGGAGGGGGGGACAGGAGGAUUUGUUUUUGAUCGGUUAUUUAUUUUUGUAAUCUAAGAGGACAGAUUAUUCAUUUUCUGCACUGUUGAAAGCAAGAUUUUUCAUUUUCAUUAAAGCAAGGGACUGAUUAUUCAUUUUCACUACUAUAUUUUUGAUAUUCAAAAACAUACAAUUUAGUAUUACAUAGUAUUUAGUCAAGUCAUUAUGUACCAUUUAAUUAGAUUAACCAUCCCCCUCUGAAGAAAUGAUUCUUUUAAAUCCCCAACUGCAUAAACAUGUACUAUUAAAGUUUUGUUAUAACUAAGCACUUUGAAAUGUAUUGGCAAGCAUAGUAAGCCGAGCGGAGCGAGGCAAACAAUUUUUUGAAGGGUUUUGGAGCCACUGAAGGCCCAAGAAGCUAUAGAACAAAUGGUGCAAAAUCAUGCUUUCUGGUGUUCCGAAGACCCUUUCAUAAUCUGAAAAUGAAGUUUUGUUUUAAUAAUUUUUUGACAACUAUUUUGGUCUCAAAGCAAAGUGUAAGACUGAAGUUUCUAGGGACAACAUCAAAAGACCUAUGUGCAUGAUAAAGCAAAAAUGGAAUUCACAUAGUUAAGCCUGUGACUGCUGUUUUUUUUAAACUCGACAUCAAGUUCAUAACAAAAUUACUAGAUUACAAAAGGAAUGCAACACUAACAGAAUACAGAAGGGCAAUCAAUGAACAAAAGACAAAUAAAUAAAAAACAUUGAUCCCGAAAAAUCAGGGCUAUAAAAGUCUGAGGGAAAACAGAACUUUCUUCUUGCAAGGCCGUGAACACAAUUUGAUAUGGAGACAAGCGUUUGGUUUUGAAAUUACCUACUUGUAGUUACGGCCCUGUUAAAAUAAAAGUGAGGUAAGGUUUCCUGAGACAAUAUACCUCAAGUUAAAUGAAACCAAUUUUCAGACAUUUCAAGUAUAUUUAAAUAAUAUUUAUACUUUUGUUAUUAAAAAAUUUGGGAAGUGUUUCCCCGAUUUUUUUUGGGAAAAAAAGAUGAAUUGAUGAAGAAUCUGGUGCCAUCUCAUACUUUCGAUUAGACCUGGUGAGUUAUUUAUUGUCUAUACAUUGCAAGUCAGGUAAUUUAUUUUCAAACUACCACAGAACAAACCAUUUAUUUUUGUGAUUAUCAAGGCUGAGUUAUUCAUUUUAAAAUCCUCCUGCCCCCCCCCCCCCCCCCAAGAAUAUCAAAUGGUCGUCCCUUUAGGUAUUUUAAGUAUGUUUGAUUGUAAAUAUUUGGUUUUUUGGUCUAUUGUGCAGCCCCUUUCGGUUUGCUAAUAAUAAGAACAUUUCACAACACUCAUUGUACAGGGAUAAUUUCUCCCAAAGUUGCCAAGGCUUCCUUGGAAGGAAAUGAUCAGUUAUGAUUCAAUAUACAUGUAACCUCAAAACACUGCUCACAGAGACGCAGGUAUGGGUCUUAACAAUAUUUUAAAAAUAUAAUAAACAAAAAAAUAAUAAUUAAAAACAAUCAAACGAAAACAAAACAAGACAAAACAAACUAAUUCAACACCUAAUUUGCUCUUUUCUAAUUUUGAUUGGUAAACUACUCGAAAGAUAAAUAUCGUUUUAUGCUUUAGUUUGUAGGAAUAAGGACACAUGUUUACAACAUAGUCCAUGGAACUGUCCACAGAAUCGGCGCCAUUGUUAUGAUAAUGUGUGUGUCUGUGCACCAACCAUAUAAAGCAGGAUACCAAUAAAAGUCUUACCAUUGUG